GACGAAGGUGGCGAGCGUUGUUCGGAAUCACUGGGCAUAAAGCGCACGUAGGCGGCGGCGUAAGUCGGGUGUGAAAUCCCUCGGCCUAACCGAGGAACAGCCCCCGAUACUGCGUUGCUUGAGGACCAGAGGGGUGCAUGGAAUUCCCGGUGGAGCGGUGAAAUGCGUUGAUAUCGGGAGGAACGCCGGCGGCGAAAGCGGUGCACUGGCUGGUUUCUGACGCUGAGGUGCGAAAGCCAGGGGAGCAAACGGG
rnacentral:rRNA from 1 species